GCCGGGGAAGGGACAGACGUCUCAGAAUCUCUUGGGGAUUCAGGAGCCGAAGAAACAAUUAAAGAAAUAGCCAAGGAUACGAUCAAAGCAUCUAAACGAAAGAGGGUGGCCAUAACUAAAACCACAAUCUCCGAUCCGGCACUUCCUUCAGCAACCACACGACCAAUUCUUACCCGAAAGAGUAAGCGGGCAAGAGUCACCGUGCCUCCUAAACCAGCAGCCCCAUCUGCUCCUGUUUCUGAAGCGGGUAAAGAGACAGAACAAUCUUCCAGUGAGUCUCUCCUCUUCUGGAUCAAAUGGCUACCUUUCUCCCUUAUCUGAUUAUCCCUUUAUCACUCAACAGGACCUCAAACUUCUAAAAGGUCAACCCUUGCUUCUAAGAAGGAAUCACGAAGGGCUGCUACGCCUAAAGAGGCUACAAGGAAAGAAAGUCUUUCUCCGCAACCUACCCUAGAUGCAACCCCUUCUUCUCAAUUUGAUCCUUCCACAGGAAUCAUGUUGCAUUUUGUGGAUGAGGAUGAUACUUUGCCAUCUUCGGGAUAUGAACCCCUUCCCCCGUCAGUGGCCUUGGAUAAAGAACCCAUAGUUCCUGAGAUCCCUGUAGCUUUAGACACAACUACUUCGCAAGCGCUUACUCGCCAGACGGUCGAUGAACCUCCUUCUU